rnacentral:pre_miRNA from 1 species
AAUAAAUUUAUUUUUCGUUUUUCCGUGUUCAACGUUUGACCAUUCAUCUUAUUUAUAAAAAACUUUAAAAAAAUUAGUCACGUAUAAAAUACUAUUUAUAUUUUAUCAUCUAGUAACAAUAAAAAUAUUAAUCACAAAAAAAUUUCAAAUAAGACGAACGGUCAAACGUUAAACACAGAAAA